UGCCUCAGACAUGCAAGUCGAACGCGAAAGUUUCCUUCGGGAGAUGAGUAGAGUGGCGCACGGGUGAGUAACACGUAGGUAAUCUACCUUCGGGCGGGGAAUAACCCAGGGAAACUUGGGCUAACACCGCAUAAUGCAGCGGCACCACAUGGUGACAGUUGUUAAAGCGGGGGAUUUUCGGACCUCGCGCCUGAAGAGGAGCCUGCGGCGGACUAGCUUGUUGGUAGGGUAACGGCUUACCAAGGCGACGAUCUGUAGCCGGCCUGAGAGGGCGGUCGGCCACACUGACACUGACAUACGGGUCAGACUCCUACGGGAGGCAGCAGUCGGGAAUUUUGGGCAAUGGGCGAAAGCCUGACCCAGCAACGCCGCGUGAAGGAUGAAAUCCCUCGGGAUGUGGCUUC
rnacentral:rRNA from 1 species